rnacentral:lncRNA from 10 species
CUUCUGCUUAAGCAUGCAGGUGAGAAGGGAAGAUACAUGUAAUCUGCAUGUCUGCCACCAUUCCUUGUUACCCUUUUUCAUAUCCCAUGAGCACAGCACUCCAGCGGACCUACCCAAAAUAUGUGGGAGUUCAGUGAAACUCAAACAGCAUGCUUCUGGUCAGCCUAUACAGUCUCUGUCCUGGUGAGGAGCAUGAUCACCAACAGGCAAGAUCUUCUGGCCUUGAAGUUUCGCUUGAGUUAAAAGAGCUCAUCUCAGGACUUUCUGAAUUUUCAGCCCAUAUGACAUGGAAGAAGAGUUAGAAGGGGAAUCUGACUGCUUGGAUCAGGGACUGUCUGGCUGGUGGAACUUGAAUGUAUACAACACUCUUCAUUUGCAUGUUUUGACAUUUUAAAAAAUGUUUUCACUUUCCUUAUCUACUUUGACUCUAAUAACAUCCUGAAAGGUGCUGUUGUCCUCUUUCUGGACCUUAGAGAUGUACAGUGCGCCACUCUGAGGAUCAAGUCUGACCCUGCCUUUAAAUUUGGAUUCAAAGUACUUAGAUUUUCUGGAAUCCCAUUCUACAAUCUUCUGGUCGAAAGUAUAAAACCAGUCUGCAGGUGUACCCAACAGCUCCGAAGAGACAGUGACAUCGAGAACGGGCCAUGAUGACGAUGGCGGUUUUGUCGAAAAGAAAAGGGGGAAAUGUGGGGAAAAGCAAGAGAGAUGAGAUUGUUACUGUGUCUGUAUAGAAAGAAGUAGACAUAGGAGACUCCAUUUUGUUCUGUACUAAGAAAAAUUCUUCUGCCUUGAGAUGCUGUUAAUCUAUGACCUUACCCCCAACCCCGUGCUCUCUGAAACAUGUGCUGUGUCAAACUCAGGGUUAAAUGGAUUAAGGGCGGUGCAAGAUGUGCUUUGUUAAACAGAUGCUUGAAGGCAGCAUG